UUCUACAGCCUGUGGCAUAAUCAUGCAGGGCAGUUUGUCUUGCUUCAAACACAGACAAGAUUAUCUAGAAGAUUCCACCAAAGGAUCAGGAAAAUAGAGGAAUAGCCCUCUCAGCUUUGGUGUAUUCCUAAACAAAACCUGCUGCUGUUUCUCCUCCAGUCAUGUUGUCUGCUUCCUGCUCAGGACUUGUGGUCCUGUUGAUAUUGAGAGGGACCAAUGGAGACUCGGUGACCCAGACAGAAGGCCCUGUUACCCUCCCCGAGGGGGCAUCUCUAACCCUGAACUGCACCUACCAGAGCAUCUAUUCAGUUUUCCUUUUCUGGUUUGUCCAGUAUCAAAACAAAGAGCCUGAGCUCCUCCUGAAAAGUUCAUCAGAAAACCAGGAGGUGGGCAGCAGAGGUUUUUGGGCCAAUCUUGUUAAGAGUGACAGCUCCUUCCACCUGCAGAAACCCUCAGUGCAAAUGACUGACUCGGCCGUGUACUACUGCGCUCUGAGAGACACAGAGAGGGGGACUGCAUGGGGAGCUGAGCACAAACCCAGACAGGGCAGCACCCCGGACCAGGAUGACAGCUGCCAUGACAACCAGUACCUGUCUGGUCUUCUCCAGCAUCUAUUUCCUGUCCAAACGUAUAUAUUUUUACAGGUGUUAUGA